rnacentral:rRNA from 1 species
GUGUCAGCAGCCGCGGUAAUACGGAGGGUGCGAGCGUUGUUCGGAUUUAUUGGGCGUAAAGCGCGUGUAGGCGGCUUGUUAAGUCUGAUGUGAAAGCCCCGGGCUCAACCUGGGAAGUGCAUUGGAUACUGGCAGACUUGAAUACGGGAGAGGGCAGUGGAAUUCCUAGUGUAGGAGUGAAAUCCGUAGAUAUUAGGAGGAACACCGGUGGCGAAGGCGGCUGCCUGGACCGAUAUUGACGCUGAGACGCGAAAGCGUGGGGAGCAAACAGGAUUAGAAACCCUGGUAGUCC